AUUGAACGCUGGCGGUAUGCCUUACACAUGCAAGUCGAACGGCAGCACGGGAGCUUGCUCCUGGUGGCGAGUGGCGAACGGGUGAGUAAAGUAUCGGAACAUGCCCUGAAGUGGGGGAUAACGUAGCGAAAGUUACGCUAAUACCGCAUAUUCUGUGAGCAGGAAAGCAGGGGAUCGCAAGACCUUGCGCUUUAGGAGUGGCCGAUAUCGGAUUAGCUAGUUGGUGAGGUAAAGGCUCACCAAGGCGACGAUCCGUAGCGGGUCUGAGAGGAUGAUCCGCCACACUGGGACUGAGACACGGCCCAGACUCCUACGGGAGGCAGCAGUGGGGAAUUUUGGACAAUGGGCGCAAGCCUGAUCCAGCCAUGCCGCGUGAGUGAAGAAGGCCUC
rnacentral:rRNA from 1 species